rnacentral:tRNA from 1 species
GUCCCUGUAGCACAAUGGAUUGCGUGUUGGAUUUCUAUUCCAAAGGUCGUUGAUUCGAAUCCUACCUGGGAUU